CCCCUUGUCUCGCUCCCACCCACAGACGCCGCCGCUGCCCCAACCCAAACCAUCUCCCUCCCACCUCGAUGCGCUAUCACACCCACCGUCGACGACCCGCGACAGCGGUAGUGGGCUCGCGACCCAGAUCACAAGGACGUCCCCUUCCUCCCGAUCUCAUCAUGCUCCUCUCCAUCCCGUCCUCUUCCUCCCCGCAGCGGAACCUUGGUUUUGACCCGUCUCGUUGCUGUGUGCAGAAGUCCGGGAGGCAUGGGGCCGGGGACGUGUGCCAGAUCUGCCCCGACGGGCUGGGCACAACGAUGGACGGCGAGGUCCUCACCGCCUUCGACGUCUGCCGCUUCCCGGUCUACGUGCACGAGCGCAAGGAGGGCACCCAGGCCUGCCUCUAGCGCUUCUGCCAGCUCGACCGCAGCACAAAGUGCUUCUGCCUGCUCUGCCCCCGGCCGCCCCGGGCCGCCGCACGUGUCGACGAAGCAGGAACACAGAGUUGCGGAGAGCAGCAGCUCGCAAUCGUGGUCAGGGACCGACCGUCCGAGAGUAGACCGUGGAGACGUGGAGUUCAGUCCAGGCAGUUCCUUUCACGUAGAUUUUGCUCGUUGUGGCAUUGCUUGAAUUUGGGUUAUUGGAUAGCUGGAGCUGCGUAGGAUUUCUUCUAAUUUACUACAAGAGACGAAGACCACGCUUCAUGAAUUCAGGGCGCCCCCGAGGUGGUCAUGUGGGAUCCUCUCGAAUAGCUCGUGCUCGCUGUCGACUUCGCUGGCAGGGUCACCCGCUCCAUCGGCCCCCUCUCUGGCGGGAUGUACUACUCGGAUUUCAUCCCCUACGUCAACUCAUACACAGAGAUCUACAUUGAUGAGCAUUUAUGUGUAUUGCUAUUUGCCUCUGGUGACAUGUGAGAAGCACUCGUCUAUAUGUUUAUAUUUUGAGCAGCUGGGUACAACUACAGUUGCAAAAUCAUCCAGCCAAAUUUUGGGAGGAUGGCAUAAAAGAUUACAUAACCCAUGCUUUUGAAAUCAUGGUAUUCUAUUUAUGCUCCAUUCCGAAAUCUAUUGUGCACUGCCAAGUCCAUGAGGCGAAGCGCUCACUGCUCGACUAUUUCUUUACUGAACUGGGAGCAACAAAGGCAAGA